AAUAACAUAAAGAUUGAAUUGGUAUCUCCUGUUAUUAAAUAUACAAAUUAAGAGGAACUAAAAUCACAAGUAUUGAAAGACAAUAAAGAUAAGUCAGGUAUUUACCGUUGGGUAAAUAACUUAAAUGGUAAUACUUAUGUAGGAAGUGCAGUAAAUUUAGAAAUAAGAUUACGAAGCUAUUAUAAUAUUAAAGAGUUAAAAAGAAAUUCUAGACCUAUAAAAGAUGCUUUACUGAAGUAUGGUCACUCUAAUUUUACAUUAGAAAUAUUAGAAUAUUGUCCUAUAAUAAGUCUUAUGGAACGGGAACAAUUCUAUAUGGAUUUACUAAUACCUGAAUACAAUAUCUUGAAAAAUGCUUACUCUUUAUUAGGGUUUAAACAUAGUCAGGAAACUAUCUUAAAACUAAAAGAGAAAGUAAUCUCUCCUGAGCAUAAAAAGAUUUUAUCUUCAAUUCACACGGGAAAGGUUGUCAAUGAAGAUACCAGAAAUAAAUUAGCAGCUGCUACGGCCAACUAUAGAAAAAGAAAUCCUUUAUCUGAAGAAGCUUUAGAAAAUUUAAGAGUUAAAACUACUCUUCGUGAGGGAGUAGCUGUUUCAGUCUUAAAUACUGAGACAAAUGAGAUAAAAUCUUUUACAAAUCAAACGGAAGCUGGUGUAUUUCUAGGUAUAUCUAGACAAGCUGUGUAUAAUGCUAUUAAAAGAGGUUCUAUUGUUAAUGGUGUAUAUAUUAUUAAUAAAGUAUAGGUUUUGUUAAAAAAGUUAAACUAGAAAAAGAAAUGAAAAUUACUUUAGUUUCAGUUAAUACUGAAACCAGAUUUAGUCUGUUGUCUAAAUGGAUAGUUAUUGUAAAAUAACCGUUUAGGGAGAAGUACCUUUACUCUGUCCGAUAACAAGGAUAAAAUAAGGUAGAUCUGUGUGUGUCAAAAGGGAAACAGCCCAGAACAAGUGUUUAAGGUUCCAAAGUUUUUGUUAAGUGAAAGUAAGGAAGUAUUUAAACUAUACAACCAGGAAAUAGGCUUAGAAGCGGCCAUUUUUUAAAGACCUCGUAACAGAGCACUGGUUCAAAUGGUUAAUUCGUUAACCUAAUUAGUUAAAAGCGCCGAAGAUAUAACGGAUCUAAAACAAAACACCGACACCUUGUCCAUAAUAAUAAUAUUAGGUUAAAUCCUAUUUUAAUAUACUUAAAGGUUAUUUAAGUAUUAUUUAUGGGGUAGCGGAACAUUGGGUAAAUAGGAUUAAAAAUAGGCAAUACCUCGAUAAUAAAGAUUUAUCCUUAAAUCCCUUUUUUAAUAUAUUAAAAAGGGGAUCAUAUAAAGGGUGGAGGAAUAAACCUAUUUUCAUAAUUACAUUUGUAGUUUGCUCGCUAGAUAGCGGGUUUUCAUAAAUAUCCCAAGUGAGAAUGCUGACACGAGUAACGAAAAAGAGGGAGAAAAUUGGGCAAACCCAAUUGAAGAGGGAUAGAUUGAAUAACGUAAAUAAACUAAAUAGAUGAUACGACCCCAACCUGUUGUAAGGUCCUCUCGCCUUAAGCUUAUGGGAAAGUGAAUCGGUCUCUAAAUUUAACCUAAAGGAUAAAAUGAUGAGGAAAAGUAUAUGUGACAACAUAAAAUGGAGUAAAAUGUUCUGGAAAAGCAUAUACUAAGCAAGGAAGGAGAAAUGGCUUUUUUUUUAUAAACUAAAAAGAAGAUACUAGGCAUUUCUUUCUAUAGGGAAUAAACUAAAACAGAUGAUACUAGUUUCCUUGUUUAUACUAAAACCGUACCUAAAAACUACCACAAGUAAGCUAGUAGAGAAUACGAAGGCGUUUGAGCUAACAAUCAUUAAGGAACUCGGCAAAUUGACACCGUAACUGAGGGAGAAGGUGUGCCAUUCCUACUGAUUAAUAUCAGUUUAGGAAGAGGAGACAUAAAAUGGUGUUGCACGACUGUUUAAUUAAAACACAGCACUUUGCGUAAGAUGUAAAUCAAUGUAUAGAGUGCGCUAUCUGCCCAAUGAUGGCUGGUUAACGGAUUUACUUAGACGACUAAAAUAGCCUAGGUUUUGAAGGAACCCCCAUUUAAUGGCGGCCUUACCUAUAAGGGUCCUAAGGUAGCGAAAUACCUUGGCAUUUAAAUGAUGUCGCGCAUGAAUGAUCUCACGAUGCAACAGCUGUCUCAAUGAUUGGCUCAGUGAAACUGGAAUGGCAGUGAAGAUACUGCCUAUCUCUAGAUAGACGAGAAGACCCCAUGCAGCUUUACUGUUACUAGUUAUAGGGUAUAAUUUAACAGGUUUUAGGGAAUAAGGUAGUUGAGCGACAAAAUUGAAACACCUUUACUCUGGUUGUUAUAUCAGUAGAAUAGGUUACAUUAUUGUAACUGACGUCUGAAUGUAAUCCAUAAAAGGAGGGAGAUUAUAUCAAGCUCAGGAGACAAUGGCUAGCAGAUGGUUUAUGCGGGGCACAGAUCCCAUAAAGAGUACCUGGGAGUAUCCAAAUUUAUUUUUGUAAUAUGCUAUACGCAAAUUAUAUGGGGCUUUUAUUAAAUAAUUGCCUUGUAUAUUUUAAUUUUUUAAUUACUAUAUUUAGUUUGUUAUUUUUUAUAUUUACUUUUAUAAAGUAUCUAUAACUAAUUCAGUUAUAUUUCUAUUUAAGUUAGAACUAAAACAAUUUAAUAUAAGUAAGAUUUUACCUAUGUGGAAAAUAGGUGUAUAUAUAGUAUUAAUAAUUAAUAUCUAAUUGUAAAAUAACAAUAUAGAGUAAAAGAAGAUAUAAUUAUAACACUAUUAGUUAUUUUUUUUUUACAGAAUACCUGUAUAAGAGAAAUGAUGUUGAUAUAUACUUCAAAAGUUUAAUGGCUUAAUCUUGCUUUACUGUUUGACAUACACGUCUAUCAGUUGCGUAAGCAGGGCAUAAAGACCGCAAGACGCAGUAAGGAAAGGUCUUGUAUUAUUGAAAAAGCUACGCUGGGGAUAACAGGCUAAUUGCGCCAGAGAGUACAAAUUGAGUGCGCAGUUUGGCACCUCGAUGUCGGCUUAGCUCAUCCACAUGAAUGCAGGAAUCAUGAAGGGUACGACUGUUCGUCGAUUAAAGAGC
rnacentral:rRNA from 3 species